ensembl:lncRNA
AAUGACUACUUUAGCUUUCUUAAUUCAACAAAAACGUUGUUUAUUCAGGUUGACUAGUGUUUAGUUUUGUUUGAAGAUUUAAGACUAUUUAGUACAGGACACAAAAACAGAAGAAACCAGGAUGUGAAAUGUAUUUGCUCCAGCACUGUAAAUGAUUUCUCCAGUGACAAAUGUACUCAAGUUUGUUGUAGUUUUACAUUUAUUAACCAACAACUGUAUUUCAAUGUAUCAGAAUUUUUUUAUUGAGUCCUUACUUUGUUAUGCAGUUCCAUUUUGAAGUACAUACCCAGUACAAUGAGCAACUUAUAUAGGCUAUUUUCCUACUUUCCAUAUUAGGUAUGCUUAAGCAGACAAUUCCCUAGAAAGUGUUGUAAAUAUUCUUACCCAACAAAUUCAAUCAUUCACCUUCAGUUCAAGCAGUAGCAAAAGUAUAAGCGCCACUGCUGUUGGUUGCACCCUUUAAAACUAAUCACUUAAGGAUUUUGCUAGAAAAAUGCAAAAACCAAUUAAACUCCUUAAUAUUUGUAAGCAGUUAAUUUCUCAAGGUUACUAUAGAUUUAGACCAAGAUGCAUCACGUGACAACACAUUCAGACCAACCCCCCCUUUGAUUUGAACAUGUGUGCAGCUAAAAAAGGUCUCAUUUACCAGUCACCAUGCACUGUUCAGGUUCAUUAACAGACCAGUUGUUCAUAUUGUGAUUUAUUGGUUAAAACAGGUUUCAAAGCACAGCAUACAUACUACAGGCUCAUGUUACCCUGAUUAUAACUCACAGGCUUUCCAUGACCCUUGCAUUGCUAAAAAACCAAGUGUCAAUCUAUUUAACCAGUAAGGCAAGUCAGAUUUCACUGGUCUUGUGCCACGCACUUGUACUCAAGCCACUGUGGUACGUGGUACAUGGUUCCUCAAUUCUGCAUCUGUCAGCAUUUCAUCCAGUCACUCCGGUGCAAGUGUCCAUACCAAACUCAGGUCGGCUGCAACACACAAUGUUCAGUCAGUGCAAAGGCACUGCAUAACGUUCAUGGAAGUAACAAGAUUAGCUGAUCUCAGUCCCAUAUCCGCAAGCUUCAUCCAGCAGUCACAAAUUAAAAUAUUGUCAUCCUUGAUCAGCUUUGAAAAAUGUUAAAUUUGUUCUAUACUGUACUGACAUACCUGUGGUAGUGAGCACAACAUGGUCCUGCAUCAAGUAGGACACCAUCCUAGACAAGAAAAACAGAAUAAGUCAAUGUAGUUAAGACUGAUGUAUGGGAGUAGCGUAGCUGCACCAGGCACCAGACAGCCCGAGCAGCCUAAAUUCCACCCGUUACUCUAGCACGUAGUUGGAGAACCUGUCCCACGGUAAAGAGCAAAGAUCCUCAGAAACCGUGCAUUACAAUAUGCCACAACAGAACAUUUACGCAACUUACCUGUGUCAAGGUGAACACCCAUCACAGCCAGUUCAUUCACAACCUAAGAGAGAUGAAAUAAGUUACUAUGAAGCUUGAAUCAUCAUGAAUUUAAACCUGGUCCAGACACCGACUCAGGGAAAUGAGGAUUUUGAUUGUUUCAUAAUAGAGCUUUUCUCAGAUAGGGCAAGUGGGUCAUCAUAGUCAGGUCAAAGUUUUUACAAUCCCCAAAAUAAAUUUCCAAGUUACCUUUUCAGUUUGACUUCAGGAUCAUCUUGUCAGCAAGAUUAACUUGCUACCAUCUACAAAGAAAAAACUGGGUAAAUAUCAAAUAUUUAUUACAAGAAAGUUAAAUUAUACUUUACACUGCUAAUUACUUAUUUACACUACAUGUACAUUUAUACUACACAAGCAAACACAGAUUUAACAGGCUACCAUGUUUAGGAUACAGACAUCAAAUAAUCUGGAUUAAAUCGCAGCCAUGUAAAUGUCACUGUGAAUGAAUGUGUCCUUUCCCUUAAUGUUGCUGAAGUGGCUAAGGGGACAGCCACACAGCGACCGUCGGUAAAAGUGAUUAUUUAGGCUCCUUCUGAUCGCUGCCUGCUACAGGGAAACAGGAACGCCUUCGAUAAGGGCCAAGUAGAGGAGUUUCUACCAUUUAAAAUAAUCGGUAGUGUCAUCAGCAAGUUCUACUGUUUUUGCCUGAGCCACAUUGUGAAUAAACUAGCAUGGUAUGUGCUGCAAAUCUAUACACUCCUUCAGCCAAUGUUCAUGGAAAGAGUGCAGCAAUGUAUUGCUUUAAACAUUACACACCCAUGCUUAUGCACAUAUUGCAUAAGAAAUGGAAUUUGUAAUGGUUAUAAUGGGAAUUGUACUGGUUUUGAUGCAAGCUGUUGUAGACCAUUUAAGUCUCUACUGGUAAGAUGUUGCAGUCUGUUGGUGGCAUGAUUAAUCUUGUGGAUACCAUUAAGGACCAAUAAUUGUAAGCUGGUGCAGUGGUAUUUGAAGCAGAAACCAUUAGAAUCUCAUCAUUUCCAUUUCCCCCCACAGCAGUAGUUGUCAAGAUGUUGAUGCUAGUUUAUGAGGGAUUUACUACUUCAUAGACAUUAUCUGAACUCAUUUCCCAUUUACAAUACAUCUCAUUUGAUUCCAUUUCCCAAUACAAACAAGUUAUUUUGAAUUAUACAUUAUGUAGCAAGCUUGUAUAUGUUUCCUGGGCCUGGGCAAUAUUUCCCAGGAAGCCUGCCGCUGCCCCAUAUAACUAGAUAAAGAUUACACACAUUGUUCUUUCCUAGCGCGGAUAUAAUCCAUGAUCUUACAUGGUACUAGAUUAUACACCGAGUUGAGUGCGCUGAUGAUACUAAAUUUAAAUCACCCUUGAGAACUAGGCCUUCUGAUCCAAGAACAAAGUACAGCCAUGAAGCACACACGUGGAAACGUGCAAAAAUGUCCAAGAACUCUGUCAACUCUCUGAAAAUUUCCAAAAUAUCUCACUACCAAGUAUUCAGUGUACCCGAAUAUAAACCCAAACUACAAUGAUAGCAUUUAAAACUUUCCGAUGCUUUAGGAUUCCGAUUACUCACCAUUACAGCUCCA